CGCGUAGGCGGCUUUAUAAGUCUGGAGUGAAAGUCCUCUUCAAGGGAGGAAUUGCUUUGGAAACUAUAGAGCUUGAGUGCAGGAGAGGUUAUCGGAAUUCCCGGUGUAGCGGUGAAAUGCGUAGAUAUCGGGAGGAACAUCGGUGGCGAAGGCGGGUAACUGGACUGCAACUGACGCUGAGGCGCGAAAGUGUGGGGAGCAAACAG
rnacentral:rRNA from 1 species